AGGGAUCAUUACUGAGUUACCGCUCUAUAACCCUUUGUGAACAUACCUAACUGUUGCUUCGGCGGACGGCUCCCGGGCCCCCGGCCCCGCUCUGCGGGGUGUCCGCCGGAGGAUAACCAAACUCUGAUUUAACGACGUUUCUUCUGAGUGGCACAAGCAAAUAAUCAAAACUUUUAACAACGGAUCUCUUGGUUCUGGCAUCGAUGAAGAACGCAGCGAAAUGCGAUAAGUAAUGUGAAUUGCAGAAUUCAGUGAAUCAUCGAAUCUUUGAACGCACAUUGCGCCCGCCAGCAUUCUGGCGGGCAUGCCUGUUCGAGCGUCAUUUCAACCCUCAAGCACUGCUUGGCGUUGGGGCUCUACGGUUGACGUAGGCCCUCAAAGGUAGUGGCGGACCCUCUCGGAGCCUCCUUUGCGUAGUAACUUUUGUCUCGCACUGGGAUUCGGAGGGACUCUAGCCGUUAAACCCCCAAUUUUCCAAAGGUUGACCUCGGAUCAGGUAGGAAUACCCGCUGAACUUAA
rnacentral:rRNA from 1 species